UUAAAUUGAAGAGUUUGAUCAUGGCUCAGAUUGAACGCUGGCGGCAGGCCUAACACAUGCAAGUCGAACGGUAACAGGAAGAAGCUUGCUUCUUUGCUGACGAGUGGCGGACGGGUGAGUAAUGUCUGGGAAACUGCCUGAUGGAGGGGGAUAACUACUGGAAACGGUAGCUAAUACCGCAUAACGUCGCAAGACCAAAGAGGGGGACCUUCGGGCCUCUUGCCAUCGGAUGUGCCCAGAUGGGAUUAGCUUGUUGGUGGGGUAACGGCUCACCAAGGCGACGAUCCCUAGCUGGUCUGAGAGGAUGACCAGCCACACUGGAACUGAGACACGGUCCAGACUCCUACGGGAGGCAGCAGUGGGGAAUAUUGCACAAUGGGCGCAAGCCUGAUGCAGCCAUGCCGCGUGUAUGAAGAAGGCCUUCGGGUUGUAAAGUACUUUCAGCGGGGAGGAAGGGAG
rnacentral:rRNA from 1 species